rnacentral:lncRNA from 1 species
GAGCACACUGGGACCAAGAAGGGAAACUCUUCUUCCUCCAGUUUCCCUCUAGUACCAUAUACUGAUGAAAACUUAAAAACAUGCAGGUUGGCAAAGGAAAAACGUAAAGCCUGUCUCCAUUAGUGCAGAGCAGGCAGUGGAGUGUGGAUUCAGAUUUGACAAGCACUGUAUUUGAAAAUGACACAAUGUACUUGUUUCAUGACACUUGGAACAAAUGAGAAUUUCUUAGAAGACACAAAUCACUUCUUAUCCUUCCUUUUAUGCCCAGAAAUGUUUUGAAUACAAAUGGUAUCAGAAUUUAACAAAAAGCUUCAAAGGGAAAAGGAAGCAGUGUUUUUGGAUAUGAAGCUUGAAUAUGCUAAAAUUACAGAUAAUUUAUAUGAGUAUCUUCUAAAGAAAGAUGGAUAGGAGUUCCCUGGUGGCCUGGUGGUUAAGGCCUCAGGGUUGCCACUGCAGUGACUUGAGUUAUACACACGGCUCAGGUUUGUUAUCUGAUAGGAGUACUUAUAUAUGCCGCAGGUACAACCAAAAAAAAAAAAAAAAGGAAAAAAAUUUGAUAAAAAUUUGAUAUUAAAAGGGCUUAGGCACUUGAUUCAGGAAUAUAGAUUUAAAUUUUACUAUUGUUCACCUUCUAUCUGGAAAAACAACUUACCUUAAAAGCUUAGAUACUUUUAAAAAGUAGAGAUUCUAAUAAUACUACCUAAUGCGAAGUUUCUUUGGAUUUAGUGCAAUAGUGCAUUAAACAUGUAACUCAGUAACAGUCACAAAGCUCUGCUUGUGUUUAAAAUGAGGACAAAUAACUUUGAAAUGAAUAAAUACAUUUAAUUUUCAGGAUAGGUAGGGAUAUAAUAUACCUAUACUUUCAAUUCAUUUCUCCCUUUUGAGGUCCAUAAGUUUGUAUACGACCUAGCCAUUUGUCAUGUACCUUAGAGCCGCAUUUAUUGUCUUUCCUCUAAAAUAUUCUUCCAUUUUUAAACCAUUUUUGAUCAUGUUUCUCACUUUGACCAAAUUAUGCAAUUCAGGGACUUGGAAGUCAUAGUGGAUCUCACAUCUAGCCACAUUCAGCAUCUAAUUGGUCACUAAAUCAUAUUUAUUCUAUCUACUUAAACUCAAUACAUUCUCUUCUUCUUAAUCACUCUUCGAGCUUUAUUUCUAAAUAAUAGCAAUAACAUCUUUUUGAUUAUUAAUUGAAUUUAUUGUCUAGUUUAUACCUUUCAAAAUAAUAAUCUGAUCAAAUUACUCCUCUCCUGAAAACUUUUAAUGCCAUUCCCCCAGUGACACCAAUACCCUGUUACCUAGAGGAUAAAACCCAUACUCCUUAGGAUGAUAUACAAGGAGUUAUAGCCCCAACCUACCUAUCUAGCCAUAUUUCUCUUUAUUCCUCAUAAAUAUAUAAUGCUAAGUCUCUAAUAAAUCACUAACUAUUCCUUGAAAUUGCCAUGAUUUUUCAUGCAUUCAUAUUUUGCAAAAUGCAUUUAUUCUAUCUAGCAUAAUGCAUAAUACUGUUUGAUUUGUAUCAAAAAAUUUUGUAACUUGUAGAUGGCUUACCACAUGUGUGAUAAUCUGCUAAAUUCUUCACAUGUAUUAUCUAAAUGCUAUAGCAGAUCUAUGAGGAAAUAGAUACAGUGAAGUAACAUAUAAUGUCCCAGUUACGAUAUUAUGAACAGUAAAGCCUGGGCAGGAAUAUGAUUGACACUAAAAUCUAUGCAAUCAAAAAAAGUUACGAAACUACUUUAAUCAUAUUUAUUGGUGUGAAAUCUUUUCUGACCUGUCUGCACAUAAGACAUUGAUAAUCAUCCUGACUUUUAUGUCAUAACUAAGUCCAAACCUGUCUCUGUUAUCUCAAGUAUCACACAGAAAUUUAUUUGUGGUUUUUAUGUCUGUCAUUCCCAUGAGACCGGUAUGGGAUAAGGUUAUUGCCCAAAGUAUAGUUAGUUCUCCAUAAAUUAUAUUUGAAUUCAUAAGUGAAUUAAUGAUACAAAUUCUACCUUCUAUUUUGUGUUCUAGUUAGCUAAUGCAAGAAAUACUGGAAGUGUCAUUAAUUUUAUCUGUUACCUUUGCAUUCAGAAAGCGUUUUGGAAGGAAAGAAACAUCUGUAGUACAUGUUAGAAGAUGAUGAUGAGAUUUUGACAGGUGGAGGCAGAGCAGAAACGACAUUCCAAACUUAAGGUCUAACAUAAUAAGAGCCAUUUAGUCUAGUCUAAAUGAAUAGCGAAUCAUCAGAUUUGAUGUAUUGCUUACAUAUGAUCUUGCUCUGACUUAUUAGCUGUUUAUUUAUCUUUCAGGUUGUAGGCGAGUAGCAAGUAUAUACAGAAGUCAGGGGAACAUUUCUCACAUUAACCUGAUGAGAGGCUAGUCCGUUGGAUUCCCUCUCCCCACCCAGAAUCAAAGAGCCUCCUUGGAACUGGCCUUUCACUCUUUCCGUCUCUCUUGGCUGAGUGAGGCUCGUGUGAAGUUUAUAUAAGAUGUGUGAACGCAGUGAAUUUGUUUUUCUUCUAGAAGCUAUCGUUUUACAGUACAUUUGCAGUUUGAAGCAUGUUCUUUACAUAAAUGUCUUUGAAGCUACAACACGUAUAUUUCAUGUCUGUGAUUUUAUAUGCUUUAUAAUACCCUUCAUAGUAAUUCUACAAGGUACAUUUUCCUUUUUUAAUGAAGAAAUUUAAGCUGCAAAAGUCUCAUGUUCACUAUUUGUAGCUAAUCAUUGUGAUAGGUUGGUAAUUCAAAACCAUUUAUUUCUGUCUUACACCAAAGCCUUUGUUUUUUCAACCAGGCAACUCCAUCUUUCAGUAUGAGCACAGGUUCUGAGGGUAAGAAACCAUAUUGCAUAUCCUGACAAUGAACUACAAAACAGACAAUUUUGGUCAAAUCUGAGAUUCUCAAAGUUGUUUGUGCAUUAGAAUCACCUGAGGAGGUUUUAAAAUUUAUGCUCAGAUUGAACCAUAAUCUUCCAUCACAAACAAAUCAAAUCAUGGUCUCUGGGAUCAGAGACAUAUAAUCAAAAGGUUAAAUUCCUGGGUGAUUCUCAUAUUCAUCCAAUACUGAGAACACUACACUGAAGUGAAGAACAUGUGUACAGAGAAGAGUAUUUAAAAACAUGACUAUUAGGAGUUCCCGUCGUGAAGCAGUGGUUAACGAAUCCGACUAGGAACUAUGAGGUUGUGGGUUCGAUCCCUGGUCUUGCUCAGUGGGUUAAGGAUCCGGCGUUGCUGUGAGCUGUGGUAUAGGUCGCAGAUACGGCUCAGAUCCAAUGUUACUGUGGCUCUGACGUAGGCCAGUGGCUACAGCUCCGAUUAGACCCCUACCCUGGGAACCUCCAUAUGCUGGCGGAGCGGCCCUAGAAAAGGCAAAAAGACAAAUAAGCAAACAAAUAAAUAAAUAAAAACAUGACUAUUAGAAUCAGGUCUGCAGUAAAGAAUCCUAGCUGCCUUACUUAAUAAUAACUCUGUCACCAUAGGCUAAUUACUCAAGUCUACAUUUAUUCGCCCAUAAGAUAGGAAUAAACUAAAAUAUAUAAACUGCUUAACAUAUGGAAUAGGUUUAAUUGAUGGCAAUUCCUACUAUUUAUAAAUAAAUAGCAAAUAAAUUUGAAAAAUGAUACUAAGAUUAUGUUGGGAAAUAUCUAAGUACUGAAGCGGAUUAUCAUGAGUGUAGAUGACAGAAACAAAUUGGAUUAGAGAUAUAUUUUUACUCAGAUGCUUAUGAUUUUUAAAAUUUUCCUAUUUACAUAUUCUUUGCAGUAAGUAAUCUUAGGUAUUAAUUACACACAGCUUUAAUUGGCAUAAGCUUAUAAAUUCUCAUUAUCUCAUAAUGAUGAAAAAAGAUAAAAGAGUGUCUGGUCUUGAUAAUGUACGAAUAAUGAGAAAUAUUGUGUACCUUGUUUUACUAAGCAUCAGUUAUUUUUCUGAUGAAUGGAAUUUUAGAUGUCUUAACUAGCUGUUGCCUAAUGCCAUUUACCACCUCUUUUUUGUUUUGUUUUUUAGACAUUACUAGUCUUACAUAAUCUAGAAGCAAAAAACAACAGUGAAAGUUUACCUGUUUUACAUAUUAAGACACUUUCCCAUUCAGUUAUCAUUUGAUUCUCAGAAGCCCCAAGAAAGGAAUGAAGAACCGGUAUGUGGUUUAAUAGUUUGUAGGGAGGUGGCUAAACAACAGUUUCCUUCUUACUCCUAAUCUAAUGCUUCUUUUAUAACAUACACACUUAUUUAGAACAUGUUGAAAGUCCAGAAGAUAAGAAUUAAUAUUUUGGCCCAGGUAUGUGGGCAACCCUAUGAACUUGGAGUGAAUAGCUCAGAGACCUUUGAGGGAUCACUACUUCUUUAUAGGUCUAAGCUGAAAGUCAGAGAAACGGUUACGAUAAUAGAAACUGAACAAUUCUCAAAGCAUCAAACAGUGCUGACUCAGCCGAAGACCAGAUAGUACAAGACAUUGAUGCCAGCAAACAGAAAUAGAGUAAGGAAAUACACUAUGCAAUGUCUGGUCUUCCUACAUAAGACAUAAGUAGUCCUGGCUGCAAAGAAAGUUAUAGAAAGAAAACCUUUGGCUUAAGGGAGUGUCAGAAUCCUUGCAAAUAUUCUGGAACCAGUGGGUGGUGUGAUGUCAGCCCUGCUUUCCUUUCAGUAGGUAAAUGUCCUCAGUUAUGUAUAGAAUGCAUCCUUUGCACUGUAGUUGAUGUUUUGGGAAAUGGUGGUGUAUAUUCAAAUAUUUCAACACUCCCUUCAAUUUGGAUUCAAAUUUUACUGAAAGUGAUAUUCAUUAAAAGUUUCGCACUGUAAUUAGUAAUUUUAUUAUAAACUGUACAAAACGUCUCUCAUGUUAAUCUAAUAUCGGUUUAGGCAUUUAAAAAUUUCAAAUUAACAGGAUAACUUAGAUGCAAUACUAAAUUAAGUUCUCUUAUGUAUACAUUAAGGAUAAAACAGCUAGUUACAGUCAGCUAUUAUUUGUGGAAGUAUGCGUAAAGUAUUCUGAGUUUGACUUAACACAUGAUAAAGAAAUUGACAGGUAAGUUUAAAUGCACAUGUAUGUAUGGCCAAUUUGAAAGUAUAUGCUUUAAACAUAGGUAUUUUUGAAUUGUUGUAUUAAAGUGUCUUAUCUAAAGAAAUUUAAACCAAUUUUUUAAAAAUUUAUUUUCUUAAUUUCUAAAGCAAUUAGAUAUUCCUUGUAAAGAAUUCCAGUACAGAACCAUAUAGAACAAAAUGUGACAGUAAGAACUACGCUAAAUUUAGACAAAAAGUACCUCCGGCAAUGAGAGAAUGAGAUUUAGAGGAGGGAAUAAACAGGUCAACAACUUUAUUUGUAAUGCCCAAUUUCCUUAACAAAAGGGAAAGGUAAAAUGAUAAAACGUUUCCAUUGACAAUUAAGGAUUUUAUGUACAUAAAAGUUUUAGUAUUUUUCAAUUUCUCAAAAAGCUUUAAAGAUUUCAAUUAGACGUUAUUACUAUGUGAUUGAGCUUGAUUUAACUUAUUUAACACCCUAUAGAUAUCUGAACUGAACUUUAAAAUAUUUUUUUAAUUCUAGAAACAUCAUUAAUUUGAUACCAAAAAAACUAAGAGCUACUGUGAUUACCUUUCAAAAUGUAUUGGGUUUCCUCCCUACACACAAAACCCCCAAACAUCCUAAAAGCUAUUUUGAGUAAUUCUUCCUCAAACAUAACAAAACAAAAAGGCCAUGCUUUCCUUUUCCAUUUUCAUAGGAAGGUCCUCAAGUGGAUAGCGGUUCAUGACAUGAACAACUACUUAAAUAUUUUCUCCUCAUCCAUUAUAUUUCACUGCUAGGGAAGUUGAAAGUGAUUUAAGCUAGAAACAGAGAAAAAUCUAAACUUAGAAUGACACUUUCCUGAUUUAUUGCCGCUUAGAUCCAACAUAAACUAUAUGUAGAUUAAGAAAGUGUCAUUAACAUUGUAUAUAAAUAAAACAAAAUGGAAAGCUCACAAUGUAAUAAUACCAAUAGAAAAAAACUUAUAAAAUUAAGAAAUUUGGGAGUUCCCAUCAUGGCUCAGUAGUUGACGAAUCUGACUAGGAACCAUGAGGUUGCAGGUGAUCUGGCCUUGCUCAGUGGGUUAAGGAUCCAGCGUUGCUGUGAGCUGUGGUGUAGCUCACAGACAUGGCUCAGGUCCCCUGUUGUUGUUGCUCUGGUGUAGGCUGGCGGCUACAGUUCUAAUUGGACCCCUACCCUGGGGAACCUGCAUAUGCCUCGGGAGCAGCCCAAGAAAAGGCAAAAAGACAAAAAAAUAAAAUAAAAAAAA